rnacentral:piRNA from 1 species
UGUAAACAGACUGUAACUGCCAG